CCCUAUGGGGUGCAGCAGGCGGAAUGAUAAGUCAGUGGUGAAAUCUCCCGGCUCAACCGGGAAACUGCCAUUGAUACUGUCGUUCUUGAGUACAGUUGAAGUGGGCGGAAUGUGUCAUGUAGCGGUGAAAUGCUUAGAUAUGACACAGAACACCGAUAGUGAAGACAGCUCACUAAGCUGUAACUGACGCUCAUGCACGAAAGCGUGGGGAUCAAACA
rnacentral:rRNA from 1 species